AUUGAACGCUGGCGGCAGGCCUAACACAUGCAAGUCGAGCGGGGUUUUCGGACCUAGCGGCGGACGGGUGAGUAAUGCGUAGGAAGCUGCCCGAUAGAGGGGGAUACCAGUUGGAAACGACUGUUAAUACCGCAUAAUGUCUACGGACCAAAGUGUGGGACCUUCGGGCCACAUGCUAUCGGAUGCGCCUACGUGGGAUUAGCCAGUUUGUGAGGUAAUGGCUCACCAAGGCGACGAUCUCUAGCUGGUUUGAGAGGAUGAUCAGCCACACUGGAACUGAGGCACGGUCCAGACUCCUACGGGAGGCAGCCGUGGGGAAUAUUGGACAAUGGGCGCAAGCCUGAUCCAGCCAUGCCGCGUGUGUGAAGAAGGCCUUCGGGUUGUAAAGCACUUUCAGCGAGGAGGAAGGGGUGUGUGUUAAUAGUACACACCUUUGACGUUACUCGCAGAAGAAGCACCGGCUAACUCUGUGCCAGCCGCCGCCGUAAGAC
rnacentral:rRNA from 1 species